UGGGGAAUAUUGCACAAUGGAGGGAACUCUGAUGCAGCAACGCCGCGUGCGGGAUGACGGCCUUCGGGUUGUAAACCGCUUUCAGCCAUGACGAAGCUUUUGUGACGGUAGUGGUAGAAGAAGCACCGGCUAACUACGUGCCAGCAGCCGCGGUGAUACGUAGGGUGCGAGCGUUGUCCGGAAUUAUUGGGCGUAAAGAGCUUGUAGGCGGUUUGUCGCGUCGAUAGUGUAAACACGCAGCUUAACUGUGUGCCUGCUGUCGAUACGGGCUGACUAGAGGAGGGUAGGGGAGAAUGGAAUUCCCGGUGGAGCGGUGGAAUGCGCAGAUAUCGGGAGGAACACCAGUGGCGAAGGCGGUUCUCUGGACCUUUCCUGACGCUGAGAAGCGAAAGCGUGGGUAGCAAACA
rnacentral:rRNA from 1 species